GGCUGAUCCCGCAGAAGCGGAGUCUCCAGCACACACCUUUUCUGACAGAGGAGGAGGAAUGGAGGACACAGAGUCGACGAAAGGCACUUGGAGGAUGUUAACGUUGUACGGCAUGCUGGGAGAAGACAGGCAUGACCGAGGAGAGAAGCCUGAGGGAGUUCGUGGAGAGCAGAGGGAGGAAGAUGAUGAAGAAGAUGAGGAUGAUGAGGAAGAGGUGGAAGCAGCGCUAUCUUGCCGGCUCAGACCACAUCGCCUUUUUCUACAUUGCUGCGACCACUGCUGGCGUGAGAACUGUCUGCGGAUCUCAUUCUUUUCAGCUCUUUGUAAGAAUGACCGAUGCCCAGCUGCUCCAAAGUGUGUCUGGGAAACCUUAAGGCAGAUUUAAUCUGGAAGAGAAAAUGUUGUGAUUGUGAUUCCCAGAGUCUCGCAUAAUAGAUACUGUAGACUCCUCCUCUCCAUAUUUAAAACUAGUGUUGCAAAAACAUUUGCAUUUUCAAAAUUUCCAUCCCAUUUAAAAGCAAAAUAAGGGGAUGCAAUUCGAAGGGAGAUCACUGGGAAUAUGUUAAUAUGAUCGGUUUUCAAUUAAUGUCAGUUUACUACAGUUUUGGAUGAUUUACACAAAAUUUCAAGCUAACUCCCGUGUCCAGUUUCUAAAAUACCUAAGCUAAAGUUCCAAUUCUAAAUUAAAUCUAAUAAGAAAUAUCUGCCUUUCUCAUUCUUUUCUGAUCAAUCUUAUAAUUAGGGUUGGUUAAGACAAGAAAAUUGCUCAAAAGCAAGUAAUGUAAACAAUUUCCCGAGCAAAAACUUAGUAUUUGUGUUCCACUUAGUCGAAAUGAGAUGAGCUCAUGAAUGGCUCAUGAAUUUACACUCGAGGUAGUGGGGACUGUAACUAUAGUAAAUUAAAUACUCACUUAAACUGAAAGUAACUGGUAGAAAUGAACACAAUCUGUUACCCUAGACUGCACCAAUAACUAUAACUACUAGAAGUGACUGAAUUAUAAUCAUGUAGCUACUUCUUCUACUGCCUGACCUUGUGCCUAUCAAUGGCGCUGAGGAAGUCCAGGUCUGUCUGGUCUGAUAUGCCCCCAUGAACAAUAAGGACUUUCCCGUCUAUCACUGUGGCGACAGGCAGAAGGCUGAAGACAUCCUGAAAGAGCUGCAGGAUCUCACGCCCAUUACUCUGUACAUAAGAAACAUUAACAUGUUUAAUUCUAGAGCUCUGGCCAACUAGUUUACAUUAUUUUACCAUACCUUGUACUUCUGCAUGACUUCUUUUGUAAAGCCAUACCUGGAAAUAAAAGAAAA